rnacentral:rRNA from 1 species
GACGAACGCUGGCGGCGUGCCUAAUACAUGCAAGUUGAGCGCUGAAGGUUGGUACUUGUACCAACUGGAUGAGCAGCGAACGGGUGAGUAACGCGUGGGGAAUCUGCCUUUGAGCGGGGGACAACAUUUGGAAACGAAUGCUAAUACCGCAUAAAAACUUUAAACACAAGUUUUAAGUUUGAAAGAUGCAAUUGCAUCACUCAAAGAUGAUCCCGCGUUGUAUUAGCUAGUUGGUGAGGUAAAGGCUCACCAAGGCGAUGAUACAUAGCCGACCUGAGAGGGUGAUCGGCCACAUUGGGACUGAGACACGGCCCAAACUCCUACGGGAGGCAGCAGUAGGGAAUCUUCGGCAAUGGACGAAAGUCUGACCGAGUAACGCCGCGUGAGUGAAGAAGGUUUUCGGAUCGUAAAACUCUGUUGGUAGAGAAGAACGUUGGUGAGAGUGGAAAGCUCAUCAAGUGACGGUAACUACCCAGAAAGGGACGGCUAACUACGU